UGCUGCUAUUGCCCUGACAUACACUUAAUAGAAAGACCUGUUAAUAUCGACUGAUCAUUACAUCUCUACUGUUAUCAAAAAUGUAAGGGGAAAGCAAACAGCCUGUCCAAGAUAACAUGCAAAAAGACAUGAAAAGAAAAUCAUUUCUCCCACAGAGGUCAGUAUUGCUGUAAAAGAGGUUUGCCAAAGAUGGGUAGUGAAAGGGCAACUGGGAAAAGAAGCUUGUGUAAAAAUUAAAAUAGUUAUCGGAUUCCUCUGUUUUGGACACAACUUUUCCUAAUCACUUUGAGCAAACUUUAAAAUGAUCUUUAUACAGUUCAUACAAAUAUUUUGGCUGACUGAUUUGCCAAGAGUGCUGUAUUAAAAGAUCAGUUUAACUUUUUUUUAAUCAAGUAAGCAAUUUAGAUAUUUAAAUGCACUAAGAGAAUGAUAAAAUAAGAAUGCUUUAACAAUGGAGACUUUUCUUUUAUUAUUGUUUUCCUCUGUAAUUGUACAGAUUUUUUCCCCAAAAUCUGCAUAUGACAUACAAACACGUGAUGGAAAUGUAGUAUUAUUUUCACAGAAUUCUCCUUUUACCGACCCGACCUCAAACACCUCACAAUGCAUUAUACGUGGAAAAACUAGGUAGCUCACCAUCUCUUAAUCCUGCUGAUUUUUUACAUGGACUUCAGUGCGGAUUUCAACACUAGAUCAUGAUUUUAACCAAUGGGACCUGCAACAAACUCUAUCUGUGCUUACCUGGGCUGCUUGGGUGAAGAGGAGGAUGGUAGUCCCGCUGCAGUACUAGCAGAAACGGCAGCUGGAGUUGACGAAGUUGUUUUAAUCCACAAACAGUCGAAGGUAGGCUGCUGCAUCUCACUUUAUUCUUAAUUUCAGUUUUGGUGAAAUGUGGCCAAACUUUGGGCCACUACUUUACCUGUGGCGGCCAUCUUCUUGUGACGUCGAGCCCAAGGUGGAUUGUUGCGUGCAUACACCGGCAAAAUUUCUUGAUCCGAUGAUAAAUUUGAGGGAUCGGAUAAUCUGAAUCCACAGUUUACAUGGGUACAAAAUCAAUCCGAUCAUGGCGAGGGUAUAUGUACCAAACUUUAUUCAGAUUAGAAGCAUUUGGACAUGCGCAGAGUUGUCUAAAUUCGCUAAAACAACCACAGAAGAAGAGCUGCAUUUAUGCCUGCACCGUCGCGGUAGUGGCUCAAUCCAACAACUUCAGGAGUUUCCCCCUAAUAAAUGUUGUCACCGGUCGGCGCGGCGCCCUUGCGUAGCCUACUGAUGUUACCUUUCUUUCAAGGGUUGCACUGUGCGUGCGGAUGUGACGUCAUUACGCUGUGUGUAGGCCUUGUUAUGUUACCGGAGGAGCAGACACGGCAAGUGUGGUUGUGUUUUAUGCCAGAGUGUUAAUAAUGACACCUCCUAUACCUGCCUCAAUCAAUAAGCCCAAGUCUAAAGACUGAAGACCGGGUCAGGUAAGAGAGUCAUGAUAGGAAUAAGUGUUUACAUGGACGCGUUUCUGAAUAAGGAUCGGCAUGAACCAACCCCUCUCGAUCGGAAUACAAUUUCUCUCCGAUUGAGCCAAAUCGGAUCAGAAUCUUCAUGUUUACGUGACGCAUUUUUAUUCCGAUCGUUUUGUUGUUGUUGUUUGUUUGUUUGUUUAUGUGUCCAUGUAAACUCAGCCAUUGUGGUGUUUUAACCUAUUUGUUACCCUUUCACAAACAUCAGAACACAGCUAGCAUUAGCUUUCAGCCACUUACUAGUUAAAGUUCAAAAUCCACAAAUACAACAGGAAACAAAUUACCUUCACUAUUUUAUUGAUGGCUAUUUUAGAAGAGCUAAUGUUUAUGUUGGUGUCUGUGUUUGAAUUAUAUUAUCAAGCCAGUAAUGCUGAGUACACAUAUUAAACCCAAGCAUGUUGGUGUCAGGCUUAAAUAUGAGAUCCUGUAAAUUGAGGAUUUUCAGACUGUUACCAUGACAACCUCUUAUCUUAAUUAUUUCAGUCUAUGAUCAUUCAGCUGAAAGUCGCUGGUGCACAGGGUCACUGAUCAAACCAUCACAGCAGUCUUACCCUCAUUAUAAUAAGACAUGAUCUGUGAAUAGGAUAAGAAAUGUUACUUGUGUAUCUGCUAUGUAUUUCAAAUACGUCAUCAAACUAUACUAUUAAUCUUCAAAUAAGUACAGCUACUGAAUUGAGGCAAUUUAUCCUGAUGUUGAAGACACCUACACAGAAUUGUAUUGAACUGUUGGCUAGUUAACAUGAUCUAAAAUAGACAGUGACAUAAACACAUUUAAAGUAUUUAUCAGUAAAAUGCUUAACAAAUGUGUCUUUCCCCUGUUGUAUGAUUUUUGAAUGGUAACUGUAAGGGGCUGAGUGCAAAUGUUAGCUGUAUCCUAAUGUUGGCUAAUAGGCGGUCAAAUGUGGGUUUUUUAAUAUCCUCCUGAUUUCUCUCCUAAUCAGCUCUUUCCUUUGUGUGGCUCCUCAUCAAUCACGGUGCUGUGAAAUGACUACAGUUUGCCAUAAUAUUAAGGUUUAUAUGAUAGAUGACCAGGAAUACUGUAAUAAUGAUAAUACAUAAUGAUAAAAGAAGACUUAAACCACUCUGAGCAUGACUUCAACAGGAAAAUGACCAAAAUUGGGCCAAUUUUAAGUUUUUCAAGAACUUUGACUUUUUAUCAAUGAAGGUGCACUAUUGUUUUUAUAACUCAAAGUAAAACGUUACUCUAUGUGUCCCUUGAGACCCCAUAUUAGAAUUGCAUAGCUUGAAUGUUACUGAUGUGGGUUUUAAAAAUGCAGAACCUUUUUUUUUUUUAAAUGGAGCUAGGUCUUGAUCAUUAUGCUGUGUCCAGGACAUCCUCGCUGGCUUUAAAGAUAAGCGGUUGGAGCAUUUAAGGUUGCUGACCCAGUUAACACUUGCCUGAAGAUAUUUCCACCUGUUCACACACACACAACUUCCCCACUGACUUUUCCCUCUUGACAGAUAGA